CUAUACAUGCAAGUCGAGCGAACAGAUAAGGARCUUGCUCCUUUGACGUUAGCGGCGGACGGGUGAGUAACACGUGGAUAACCUACCUAUAAGACUGGGAUAACUUCGGGAAACCGGAGCUAAUACCGGAUAAGAUUUUGAACCGCAUGGUUCAAUAGUGAAAGACGGCCUUGCUGUCACUUAUAGAUGGAUCCGCGCCGUAUUAGCUAGUUGGUAAGGUAACGGCUUACCAAGGCAACGAUACGUAGCCGACCUGAGAGGGUGAUCGGCCACACUGGAACUGAGACACGGUCCAGACUCCUACGGGAGGCAGCAGUAGGGAAUCUUCCGCAAUGGGCGAAAGCCUGACGGAGCAACGCCGCGUGAGUGAUGAAGGUCUUCGGAUCGUAAAACUCUGUUAUCAGGGAARAACAAACGUGUAAGUAACUGUGCACGUCUUGACGGUACCUGAUCAGAAAGCCACGGCUAACUACGUGCCAGCAGCCGCGGKAAUACGUAGGUG
rnacentral:rRNA from 1 species